rnacentral:rRNA from 1 species
AUUGAACGCUGGCGGCAUGCUUUACACAUGCAAGUCGAACGGUAACAGGCCGCAAGGUGCUGACGAGUGGCGAACGGGUGAGUAAUGCAUCGGAACGUGCCCAGUCGUGGGGGAUAACGCAGCGAAAGCUGCGCUAAUACCGCAUACGAUCUAUGGAUGAAAGCGGGGGACCGUAAGGCCUCGCGCGAUUGGAGCGGCCGAUGUCAGAUUAGGUAGUUGGUGGGGUAAGGCUCACCAAGCCAACGAUCUGUAGCUAGUCUGAGAGGACGACCAGCCACACUGGGACUGAGACACGGCCCAGACUCCUACGGGAGGCAGCAGUGGGGAAUUUUGGACAAUGGGCGCAAGCCUGAUCCAGCAAUGCCGCGUGCAGGAAGAAGGCCUUCGGGUUGUAAACUGCUUUUGUACGGAACGAAGCGGUCUGGGUUAAUACCUCGGGCUAAUGACGGUACCGUAAGAAUAAGCACCGGCUAACUACGUGCCAGCCGCCGCCGUAACAC